rnacentral:rRNA from 1 species
GAUGAACGCUGGCGGCGUGCCUAAUACAUGCAAGUCGAGCGAACAGAUGAGGAGCUUGCUCCUCUGACGUUAGCGGCGGACGGGUGAGUAACACGUGGAUAACCUACCUAUAAGACUGGGAUAACUUCGGGAAACCGGAGCUAAUACCGGAUAAUAUAUUGAACCGCAUGGUUCAAUAGUGAAAGACGGUUUUGCUGUCACUUAUAGAUGGAUCCGCGCCGCAUUAGCUAGUUGGUAAGGUAACGGCUUACCAAGGCAACGAUGCGUAGCCGACCUGAGAGGGUGGUCGGCCACACUGGAGCGGAGACACGGUCCAGACUCCUACGGGAGGCAGCAGUAGGGAAUCUUCCGCAAUGGGCGAAAGCCUGACGGAGCAACGCCGCGUGAGUGAUGAAGGUCUUCGGAUCGUAAAACUCUGUUAUUAGGGAAGAACAAAUGUGUAAGUAACUGUGCACGUCUUGACGGUACCUAAUCAGAAAGCCACGGCUAACUACGUG